rnacentral:sRNA from 2 species
ACCUAUCGCUGCUAAUCUAUCGCCGCUGCGAAUCUAUCACUGCUGCCAAUCUAUAUAGAGUAAAUCAUGGUCCCAUUUAGAAUCAUUAAUUUAUAAGUAAAACAUGACCUGGGACUAGAUUUAUUAAAGUGAUUAAUUUACUAAACACUAUAUGGGACCAGGACUAAGAUAUCUGAUAAUGGAACUGAGGAAAAAUUUGGUCCUGGUCCCAUGCAUGGUCACACAGCCAGUCUAUAUGUAACUAGGGGCU